AAUCUGCAAUCUCGUCAUUGCCUUGAGUUGAAUGUACUCAGGUCUCCAGAGUUACAGAGAGAGUAUAUUCUAGAGGAAGCCGAGACUUCACUGUGCAAGGUUUAACAAGUUGAUGUGCUAUAUUCCUCUAACAUCCCCAGUUCUGUUGCCGCGGAGGUAAUAACCUUACCAUGUUAUUAUCAAUCGAUCAACGGAUAGAUCAAUGCAGAUUGAUAUUAUUUACAGAAUCAAGGUUUCUUCUGGUAAACACUGAAACUGCAACACUG